rnacentral:rRNA from 1 species
GAUGAACGCUGGCGGCGUGCUUAACACAUGCAAGUCGAACGGGAAACCUUUUAUUAAAGCUUCGGCGGAUUUAGCUGGUUUCGAGUGGCAGACGGGUGAGUAACGUGUGGGUAACCUGCCGUGUGCAGGGGGAUAAAAGUCAGAACUGACUGCUAAUAGCACAUAAGCGCACAGAGCUGCAAAGCCCAGUGGGAAAAAGUCCGGUGGUAAAAGAUGGACCCGCGUUGGAUUGGCUAGUUGGGGAGGUAACGGCCAAGCAAGGGGACGAACCAGACCCCGCCAGAGAGGGUGAACGGCCACAUUGAGUCUGACACACGGCCCAGACACCUACGGGAGGUAGCAGUGGGGAAUAUUGCACAAUGGGGGAAACCCUGAUGAAGCGAGGCCGCGUGAAGGUAGAAGUAUCUCGGUAUGUAAACUUAUAUCAGCAGGGAAGAAAAUGACGGUACCUGACUAAGAAGCCCCGGCUAACUACGUGCCAGCCGCCGCCGUAAAAC